rnacentral:rRNA from 1 species
GAUGAACGCUGGCGGCGUGCCUAAUACAUGCAAGUCGAGCGAACGGACGAGAAGCUUGCUUCUCUGAUGUUAGCGGCGGACGGGUGAGUAACACGUGGAUAACCUACCUAUAAGACUGGGAUAACUUCGGGAAACCGGAGCUAAUACCGGAUAAUAUUUUGAACCGCAUGGUUCAAAAGUGAAAGACGGUCUUGCUGUCACUUAUAGAUGGAUCCGCGCUGCAUUAGCUAGUUGGUAAGGUAACGGCUUAACAAGGCAACGAUGCAUAGCCGACCUGAGAGGAGGACCGACCACACUGGGACUGAGACACCGUCCAUACGCCAAAGGGAGGCAGCAGUGGGGAAUAUUGCACAAUGGGCGCAAGCAUGACACAGCAAUGACGAGUGAAGGAAGAAGGCAUUAGGAUGGGAAAAAGCUCUUGUAAGGAAAGAAACGACGGGGGCGAAUACCCGGGCCUAAUGACGGGACCGAAUGAAAAAGCACCGGCUAACAACGUG